UUUAAUGAGAGUUUGAUCCUGGCUCAGAACGAACGCUGGCGGCGUGCCUGACACAUGCAAGUCGAACGGAGUCAUUUUGAAGUAGCAAUACGGAAGAAUGACUUAGUGGCGCACGGGUGAGUAACACGUAGGUAACCUGCCCUUAAGAGGGGGAAAACCCGCCGAAAGGCGAGCUAAUACCGCAUAAGACCACGAACUGAGAUGUUUGUGGUAAAAGGAGCAAUCCACUUAAGGAUGGGCCUGCGGCCUAUCAGGUAGUUGGUGAGGUAACGGCUCACCAAGCCUAAGACGGGUAGCCGGUCUGAGAGGACGGACGGCCACACUGGAACUGAGACACGGUCCAGACUCCUAUGGGAGGCAGCAGUGGGGAAUUUUGCACAAUGGGCGAAAGCCUGAUGCAGCGACGCCGCGUGGAGGAUGAAGGCCUUCGGGUUGUAAACUCCUUUUGUAGGGGAAAAUAAUGAUGGUACCCUGCGAAUAAGCCACGGCUAACUCUGUGCCAGCAGCCGCGGUAAGACAGAGGUGGCAAGCGUUGUUCGGAAUUACUGGGCUUAAAGGGCGCGUAGGCGGUAAGAUAAGUCUGUGGUGAAAUCCUAUGGCUUAACCAUAGAAUUGCCAUGGAAACUGUUUUACUUGAGUCAGCGAGGGGAUGGUGGAAUUCCUGGUGUAGCAGUGAAAUGCGUAGAUAUCCGGAGGAAGGCCGGUGGCGAAGGCGGCCAUCUGGCGCUGAACUGACGCUGAGGCGCGAAAGCGUGGGUAGCAAACAGGAUUAGAUACCCUGGUAGUCCACGCCCUAAACGGUGGGCAUUAGGUGUAGGGCUCGUAAGGGUUCUGUGCCGUAGGGAAACCAUUAAAUGCCCCGCCUGGGGAGUACGGCCGCAAGGUUGAAACUCAAAGGAAUUGACGGGGGCCCGCACAAGCGGUGGAGCAUGUGGUUUAAUUCGACGCAACGCGAAGAACCUUACCUGGGCUUGACAUG
rnacentral:ncRNA from 1 species